rnacentral:rRNA from 1 species
GACGAACGCUGGCGGCGUGCCUAAUACAUGCAAGUUGAGCGAUGAAGAUUGGUGCUUGCACCAAUUUGAAGAGCAGCGAACGGGUGAGUAACGCGUGGGGAAUCUGCCUUUGAGCGGGGGACAACAUUUGGAAACGAAUGCUAAUACCGCAUAACAACUUUAAACAUAAGUUUUAAGUUUGAAAGAUGCAAUUGCAUCACUCAAAGAUGAUCCCGCGUUGUAUUAGCUAGCUGGUGAGGUAAAGGCUCACCAAGGCGAUGAUACAUAGCCGACCUGAGAGGGUGAUCAGCCACAUUGGGACUGAGACACGGCCCAAACUCCUACGGGAGGCAGCAGUAGGGAAUCUUCGGCAAUGGACGAAAGUCUGGCCGAGCAACGCCGCGUGAGUGAAGAAGGUUUUCGGAUCGUAAAACUCUGUUGGUAGAGAAGAACGUUGGUUAGAGUGGAAAGCUCAUCAAGUGACGGUAACUACCCAGAAAGGGACGGCUAACUACGUG